rnacentral:rRNA from 1 species
UACGGAGGAUGCAAGCGUUAUCCGGAUUUAUUGGGUUUAAAGGGUGCGUAGGUGGAAUAGUAAGUCAGAGGUGAAAGCUAGCAGCUUAACUGUUAAAUUGCCUUUGAUACUGCUGUUCUUGAGUGUAGUUGGCGUUGGCGGAAUGUGACAUGUAGCGGUGAAAUGCGUAGAUAUGUCACAGAACACCGAUCGCGAAGGCAGCUAACGAAGCUAUCACUGACACUGAUGCACGAAAGCGUGGGGAGCAAACAGG